rnacentral:misc_RNA from 1 species
AGAGAGAGAGAGAAAAAGAGAGAUGAUGGAGAGACUGGCUUGAAAAGAAUAAAAGUAAAAAACAGUGUAAUUUUUGUUGUUUUACUUAAAAGUUCAAAGGAAUUAGUAAUUCAAUUUUAAUAGUAUAAUUGACCUCAAUUUUUUACUUUUGCUUCUUUCUUUAACUUGAAAUUUCUCGGAUAAAUUUCCAGAUUUGCUUUCUAGUGAACUUGUAAUAAUGACCUAAUGAUCUUUUGAAACAUCUGGUGUUGAUUUUGUCUUCAUCCCACAUAGUAAUGCCAUUCAUACCUGUUCCUGCAGGGAUCUUAUAGGUUUUAUUUAUUUCCCUAGGCACGCUUCAUAUUAUGUGCUAUUUUUUACAUGCAGUUCUACUUAGUGAUCGUAUUGUUGUGUGCUUUGUGUCCGUCCAUGCCUAGACCCGGCCACUGGGCCAGUUCCGGUUCACCUAAAAGGGUGA